rnacentral:rRNA from 1 species
GACGAACGCUGGCGGCGUGCUUAACACAUGCAAGUCGAACGGAAAGGCCCUGCUUUUGUGGGGUGCCCGAGUGGCGAACGGGUGAGUAACAAGUGAGUAACCUUCCCUUGACUUUGGGGUAACUUCCGGAAACUGGGGCUAAUACCGGAUAGGAGCUCCUGCUGCAUGGUGGGGGUUGGAAAGGUUCGGCGGUUGGGGAUGGACUCGCGGCUUAUCAGCUUGUUGGUGGGGUAGUGGCUUACCAAGGCUUUGACGGGUAGCCGGCCUGAGAGGGUGACCGGCCACAUUGGGACUGAGAUACGGCCCAGACUCCUACGGGAGGCAGCAGCGGGGAAUAUUGCACAAUGGGCGGAAGCCUGAUGCAGCAACGCCGCGUGCGGGAUGACGGCCUUCGGGUUGUAAACCGCUUUCGCCUGUGACGAAGCGUGAGUGACGGUAAUGGGUAAAGAAGCACCGGCUAACUACGUG